GUCUGUAGGGGUGAUGGGGAUUAGGUUGUAUACUACACUGUCUGUAGGGGUGAUGGGGAUUAGGUUGUAUACUAUACUGUCUGUAGGGGUGAUAGGGAUUAGGUUGUAUACUAUACUGUCUGUAGGGGUGAUGGGGAUUAGGUUGUAUACUGUCUGUAGGGGUGAUGGGGAUUAGGUUGUAUACUAUACUGUCUGUAGGGGUGAUGGGGAUUAGGUUGUAUACUGUCUGUAGGGGGAUGGGGAUUAGGUUGUAUACUAUACUGUCUGUAGGGGUGAUGGGGAUUAGGUUGUAUACUAUACUGUCUGUAGGGGUGAUAGGGAUUAGGUUGUAUACUAUACUGUCUGUAGGGGUGAUGGGGAUUAGGUUGUAUACUAUACUGUCUGUAGGGGUGAUAGGGAUUAGGUUGUAUACUAUACUGUCUGUAGGGGUGAUGGGGAUUAGGUUGUAUACUAUACUGUCUGUAGGGGUGAUGGGGAUUAGGUUGUAUACUAUACUGUCUGUAGGGGUGAUAGGGAUUAGGUUGUAUACUAUGCUGUCUGUAGGGGUGAUGGGGAUUAGGUUGUAUACUAUGCUGUCUGUAGGGGUGAUGGGGAUUAGGUUGUAUACUAUACUGUUUGUAGGGGUGAUGGGGAUUAGGUUGUAUACUGUCUGUAGGGGUGAUAGGGAUUAGGUUGUAUACUACACUGUCUGUAGGGGUGAUGGGGAUUAGAUUGUAUACUAUACUGUCUGUAGGGGUGAUGGGGAUUAGGUUGUAUUCUAUACUGUCUGUAGGGGUGAUGGGGAUUAGGUUGUAUUCUAUACUGUCUGUAGGGGUGAUGGGGAUUAGGUUGUAUACUAGACUGUCUGUAGGGGUGAUAGGGAUUAGGUUGUAUUCUAUACUGUCUGUAGGGGUGAUGGGGAUUAGGUUGUAUACUAUACUGUCUGUAGGGGUGAUAGGGAUUAGGUUGUAUACUAUGCUGUCUGUAGGGGUGAUGGGGAUUAGGUUGUAUACUAUACUGUCUGUAGGGGGAUGGGGAUUAGGUUGUAUACUAUACUGUCUGUAGGGGUGAUAGGGAUUAGGUUGUAUACUAUACUGUCUGUAGGGUUGAUGGGGAUUAGGUUGUAUUCUAUACUGUCUGUAGGGGUGAUGGGGAUUAGGUUUUAUACUAUACUGUCUGUAGGGGGAUAGGGAUUAUGUUGUAUACUGUCUGUAGGGGUGAUGGGGAUUAGGUUGUAUACUAUACUGUCUGUAGGGGUGAUGGGGAUUAGGUUGUAUACUAUGCUGUCUGUAGGGGUGAUAGGGAUUAGGUUGUAUACUAUACUGUCUGUAGGGGUGAUGGGGAUUAGGUUGUAUACUGUCUGUAGGGGUGAUGGGGAUUAGGUUGUAUACUGUCUGUAGGGGUGAUAGGGAUUAGGUUGUAUACUAUACUGUCUGUAGGGGUGAUGGGGAUUAGGUUGUAUACUAUACUGUCUGUAGGGGUGAUAGGGAUUAGGUUGUAUACUAUACUGUCUGUAGGGGUGAUGGGGAUUAGGUUGUAUACUAUACUGUCUGUAGGGGUGAUAGGGAUUAGGUUGUAUACUGUCUGUAGGGGGAUGGGGAUUAGGUUGUAUACUAUACUGUCUGUAGGGGUGAUGGGGAUUAGGUUGUAUACUAUACUGUCUGUAGGGGUGAUGGGGAUUAGGUUGUAUACUAUACUGUCUGUAGGGGUGAUGGGGAUUAG
rnacentral:lncRNA from 1 species